ACGAUUGAAAAACAUAAAACAGAUUAUAAUUUUCAACACGUUAACCUUGCGCAUAGUAAGCACCUACUUUAACUCUCCCUGUUUUUUUUUCCUUCUUCUCUUUUUUUUUUUUUUUUUUUU
rnacentral:ribozyme from 13 species